AGAGUUUGAUCCUGGCUCAGCCUGAACGCUGGCGGCGUGGCUAAGAUAUGCAAGUCGAACGGAUGUAGCAAUACAUCAGUGGCGGACGGGUGAGUAAUGUAUCGCUAAUGUGCCCUUGAGCCAGGGAUAGCUGCCCGAAAGGGCAGGUAAUACCUGAUAAAGUAAUCCUGACGCAUGUCGGGAUUCCCAAAGCAGCAAUGCACUCUUGGAGCAGGCGAUAUCGUAUCAGCUAGUUGGUGAGGUAACGGCUCACCAUGGCAAUGACGCGUAGCUGAUCUGAGAGGACGACCAGCCACAUCGGGACUGAGACACUGCCCGGACUCCUACGGGUGGCUGCAGUAACGAAUCUUCCGCAAUGCACGAAAGUGUGACGGAGCGACGCGGCGUGUGGGAUGAAGUCCUUCGGGAUGUAAACCACUGUCAGGGGAAAGAAAGUUCUGAUCUACCCCAGAGGAAGAGGCGGCUAACUCUGUGCCAGCAGCCGCGGUAAUACAGAGGCCCCAAGCGUUAGGCGGAAUCACUGGGCUUAAAGCGUGGGUAGGUGGAUGCCUAAGUACCUUGUGAAAUCCCACGGGCUUAACCGUGGAAUGGCUGGGUAUUCUGGGUGUCUUGAAGCACUCAGGGGCUACCGGAACAAACGGUGGAGCGGUGAAAUGCGUAGAUAUCGUUUGGAACACCAAUGGUGAAAACAGGUAUCUGGGCGUGUGCUGACACUGAGACACGAAAGCCAGGGGAGCAAACGGGAUUAGAUACCCCAGUAGUCC
rnacentral:rRNA from 1 species